rnacentral:rRNA from 1 species
AUUGAACGCUAGCGGGAUGCUUAACACAUGCAAGUCGAACGAGUGGCGGACGGGUGAGUAAUGUAUCGGAACGUGCCCAGUAGCGGGGGAUAACUACUCGAAAGAGUGGCUAAUACCGCAUACUAUCGGAGCGGCCGAUAUCGGAUUAGCUAGUCGGUGGGGUAAAGGCUCACCAAGGCAACGAUCCGUAGCUGGUUUGAGAGGAAGAUAAGCCACACUGGGACUGAGAGACGGCCAAGACUCCUACGGGAGGCAGCAGUGGGGAAGAUUGGACAAUGGUGGAAAGCCGGAUCCAGCCAUGCCGCGUGUAUGAGAAGGCCUUCGGGUUGUAAAGUACUUUUGGCAGAGAGGCGUUAUCUGCAGAAGAAGCACCGGCUAACUACGUGCCAGCAGCCGCGGUAAUAC